CAGUAAUCUGUUACAAGGCUAGAACUGAAUCAAGGGAGAGAGCAGUCGUCCUCCACCUGAGAAGAAUAUAUCCAGCUUUGCUUCAGAUGGGCAGGGCAUUGCCAUUAGACUCUCCAAGCAGGUAGCCAAUUGAUUUUCAGGAAUCAUGUGAUCCCUCUUGGCAGGUCUACUUCUGCUUUAAUGACACUAUUGAAGAAGAUGAUGUUUCGAGGAGUCUAAAAAGGCGAGGGAUUGAUGCCUUACAUAUGAAGACUCGGGAAAGGAGAAGUCUAAGGGGCCAGUCACACCAAAAGCGUUUAUGGCAGUUGCAGGCGCCUUUUUUGAAUGAUAUUCUAUGGGCAGGGUGCGUUUGCGCGCUGUUUAUGUGCGCCAAACGCCUUGCGGUUUUUUGCCGCCUGCCGCGCACGCAUUUUUGAAGGAGCGCUGAGAGCGGAGAAGCGCCCGACGUCAUUCGCGUCUUUCCAUUGUCCAAUCGAAUGAGGGGAGAGGCGGGCCUUACGUUGUGGUGAGUGAAGUUUACAGUUGCUUUGAAGAACCGGACUCCACUUGCUCACUCUCUCCUGCGUGUUUGUGCACCUCUCACCCUCAAACAAGGUCAGAGCAAGCGCCCUCUUUUUAAAGUUUCUGCUAAUAUGACAGUUAACAGCAAAAGAGCGCUCACGCUUCAAUAUUUGAUUGACAAGACAGCUGACUCAGUGGUUGCUUACCAAUAUGAAAAGCCGCGUCGCACUGCUCUUUUUUUAAAAAAGGCAGUGCGUCGUGCCUUGCGUUUGCAAGCGUUUAAAGCGCUUUUGGUGUGACUGGCCCCUAACUGAACACCCCAUCAGAAGCAGGCCUCUAACAUUUGUGCUCUAACAUCAAAGACACUGAGCAGCCUAGUGCAAAAGCUGCUCUCAUUCAACACCUCCAACACCUGGAAAGAAAACUACAUCAAGCCAUUGUGAUGUUUCACCCACAUCUAUCGGACAUUGUUCCUGCAGACAACCCCCACUUGUGUCAUGCCCUCCCCAUGCCAAGCAUACAGACACUGGUAUACAAUGAUAAGAGUGAUAAUGAUGAAAAUGUGGAUAAAUAUGAUAACUAGCACUACAGAUUUUUUGUUAAUUUUUAGGCUGAUAUUGUAUUCUGUAAAAAGAAAGAUGUAAAAUGUAUAGUAUAUGUUGCAGCAUAUAGAAACCUUGGUGGUGUAGUAUAAUGUUCACCUUACUUGUGCAAACAUGAUGUUUUACUAGGUCUGAUUUAUUUUAAAGCGUAGGUACUGUUUUAAGCACACAUAUUCACACUAGUCUGUGAAACAAAAUUGUGUGUUUACCAUUGUGAUGUUACUUAUUUACUGUAAUGUACAAAUGUGGUCAAUGUGUGUAAGGUGUUUUGUUUUUGAAUCCUUUUAAACAAAUACUGUAAAAGUUUGUAAAAAAUAAAAAGUUUUCCACAAUGAGUUAUAGUCAUGAUUUCAGCUAUUGUCACAGCACACUUUAAAGGUGAAUGAAUAA